rnacentral:rRNA from 1 species
UACGAAGGGGGCUAGCGUUGUUCGGAUUUACUGGGCGUAAAGCGCACGUAGGCGGAUCGAUCAGUCAGGGGUGAAAUCCCAGAGCUCAACUCUGGAACUGCCUUUGAUACUGUCGAUCUGGAGUAUGGAAGAGGUGAGUGGAAUUCCCGGUGUAGUGGUGAAAUGCGUAGAUAUCGGGAGGAACACCAGUGGCGAAGGCGACUUCCUGGCCUGUUCUUGACGCUGAGGCGCGAAAGCGUGGGGAGCGAACAGG